rnacentral:rRNA from 1 species
UGCCAGCCGCCGCGGUAAGACAGAGGGUGCAAACGUUGCUCGGAAUUACUGGGCGUAAAGCGCGUGUAGGCGGUUCGUUAAGUUGGCUGUGAAAGCCCGGGGCUCAACCCCGGAAGUGCAUUGGAAACUGGCGAACUUGAGUACGGGAGAGGAAAGUGGAAUUCCGAGUGUAGGGGUGAAAUCCGUAGAUAUUCGGAGGAACACCAGUGGCGAAGGCGGCUUUCUGGACCGAUACUGACGCUGAGACGCGAAAGCGUGGGGAGCAAACAGGAUUAGAUA